UUCUGCUAAGAAUGCUCCUUCCCAACUCCUUGGCUGGACACACGGCUCCUGCUCUGUGGGCCUGUCCUGUUCCCACUCAGAGCCUCAGCACCCCCCAUGUGGCCAAGACACAGCCCCUCUUGCCUUAGGUUGCCGUGGGUCUGUUUCCACAUCUGUUUCCCCUCCAGACUGCAGGGCUCCUGAGGGACAGGGCCUGGGGCCAAGUCUCCUCUGCGUUCCUGAUGCCUGGUGGUGUGCCACGCUCUCCGUGGGUGCACGACUCUUCCAGCUGGAGUUGGAGGCUGACGCCCUAGUGAAUUUCCAUCAGUAUUCUUCCCAGCUGCUACCCUUCUAUGAGAGCUCCCCUCAGGUCCUGCACACUGAGGUCCUGCAGCACCUGACCGACCUCAUCCGUAACCACCCCAGCUGGUCAGUGGCCCACCUGGCUGUGGAGCUAGGGAUCCGCGAGUGCUUCCAUCACAGCCGUAUCAUCAGCUGUGCCAAUUGCGCGGAGAACGAGGAGGGCUGCACACCCCUGCACCUGGCCUGCCGCAA
rnacentral:lncRNA from 1 species